ACAAGCGGUGGAGCAUGUGGUUUAAUUCGACGCAACGCGAAGAACCUUACCAGGGCUUGACAUCCCCUGACCGCGUAUGAAAGUACGUUUCACCCUCGGGUGACAGGGAGACAGGUGGUGCAUGGCUGUCGUCAGCUCGUGUCGUGAGAUGUUGGGUUAAGCCCCGCAACGAGCGCAACCCUUAUCCCUAGUUGCCAUCAGGUAAAGCUGGGAACUCUGGGGAGACUGCCGGUGAUAAACCGGAGGAAGGCGGGGAUGACGUCAAGUCCUCAUGGCCCUUACAUCCCGGGCUACACACGUGCUACAAUGGCAGGUACAGAGGGCUGCGAAGCCGCGAGGUGGAGCGAAUCCCAGAAAACCUGUCUCAGUCCGGAUUGAAGUCUGCAACUCGACUUCAUGAAGGCGGAAUCGCUAGUAACCGCGAAUCAGCAGGUCGCGGUGAAUACGUUCCCGGGCCUU
rnacentral:rRNA from 1 species